rnacentral:rRNA from 1 species
GAUGAACGCUGGCGGCGUGCCUAAUACAUGCAAGUCGAGCGAACCACUUCGGUGGUGAGCGGCGAACGGGUGAGUAACACGUAGGUUAUCUGCCCAUCAGACGGGGACAACGAUUGGAAACGAUCGCUAAUACCGGAUAGGACGAAAGUUUAAAGGUGCUUCUGGCACCGCUGAUGGAUGAGCCUGCGGCGCAUUAGCUAGUUGGUAGGGUAAAGGCCUACCAAGGCGACGAUGCGUAGCCGACCUGAGAGGGUGAACGGCCACACUGGGACUGAGACACGGCCCAGACUCCUACGGGAGGCAGCAGUAGGGAAUCUUCGGCAAUGGGCGAAAGCCUGACCGAGCAACGCCGCGUGAAUGAUGAAGGCCUUCGGGUUGUAAAAUUCUGUUAUAAGGGAAGAAAUCGCACGGAUUAAUACUCUGUGUGGAUGACGGUACCUGCAGAAUAAGCACCGGCUAACUACGUGCCAGCCGCCGCGGUAA